GACUCAGAAACGGACUCGAUUGUGCACGAACCCAACGCCGCUCAACGGCGGCCGCACCUGUCCAGGUUUCAACUUCCAGAAAGGCGAUUGUACCUCCAUCUGUCCAGUAGUGGACGGUCGAUGGAACGCCUGGUCCAGUUGGUCCCAACUGCGGGCUGAUCUUGCAAACACCAUCGUCGCCGUUCGUGCACCAGCAGCCCUUCAUCUUCCUACGGAGGACAAUAUUGGGUCGGCCGUGACUUGCAGCGGGAGGAGUUCGUGCCGACCAUCUCGACAGCUUAGACGAGGAUUCAUCAACAUCAAUCAAUUUGCUGGAUUCUUCCUUUUUCGGCUCGACGGACACGCCAUUCUUCUGCCAGGACGUCCGGCGGCGGCAUCCGGGAAUUGAGCGUUCGAUUCGAUUGCGAUUCAGCGUCGACUGGGAGGGUAAACGGACUCCAUUGAUCAACAGAGCUCUUAUUCUCGACAACACUCCUCCCGAUUCGAUUCCUGUUCAAAAAAUAGGAGAAGAAUCAAACAUCGUCCAAGAUGAAGGUAAAAGUUUCGCCACUCCUGCAAAUGAGAAGAAAUGUCAAGAAUAGAGAAUAGUCCGAUGUCUAAUUCAUGGCAUUACCUUCGUUCACCACCGCCAAAUCGACCGGAAACCGGAGUUCAUCGGGUUUGAAAAUCAGAAUUUCUCUGCACGUAGAAAUGGACGGGUGCCGAAUCGACGUCGACGUAUCCGAUCCAUUUCUGUUUAGUCUGUUAAACAAAAAUGAUUUAGAUCAAACAAUGACAAUUGAAAGAAAAACAUGUCGUACCAUUUUGAUUGGGAUAGAAUUCACAGUAAACGGUUUCCAUCUUCUUCAAUCCCUUGACGGAAUAAAAUCCGCUCAGUUUGUGUCCCAUUCUCUGCAGAUCUUCACACGAGGUCGGAGUGACAGUCAAUUCUGCGUGUUCCAUCAUUUUGAUUGGCGCCGACAGUUCAGCGGU